rnacentral:rRNA from 1 species
AUUAAGCAUAUCAAUAAGCGGAGGAAAAGAAACUAACAAGGAUUCCCCUAGUAACUGCGAGUGAAGAGGGAAAAGCUCAAAUUUAAAAUCUGUCAGUCUUUGGCUGACUGAGUUGUAAAUUAGAGAAGUGCUAUCAGUGCUGGCCUGUGCAAAAGUCUCUUGGAAAAGAGCAUCAUAGAGGGUGACAAUCCCGUCUUUGGUACAGAUCUCCAGUGCUUCCAUGAUGCACUCUCGAUGAGUCGAGUUGUUUGGGAAUGCAGCUCUAAAUGGGUGGUAAAUUCCAUCUAAAGCUAAAUAUUGGCGAGAAACCGAUAGCGCACAAGUACCGUGAGGGAAAGAUGAAAAGAACUUUGAAAAGAGAGUUAAACAGUACGUGAAAUUGUUGAAAGGGAAACGCUUGAAGUCAGUCGUGUUCUUCAGAAAUCAACCUGACUUUGGUCUGGCUUACUUUCUGUUGAAUGGGUCAGCAUCAAUUUUGAUCAUUGGAUAAAGACCUUGGGAAAGUGGCAUCCCCGGAUGUGUUAUAGCCCUUGGAUCACAUACAAUGGUUGGGAUUGAGGAACUCAGUGUGAAUUUGGGGCUUUGCUCACAACACGCACUUAGGAUGCUGGCAUAAUGGCUUUAAUCGACCCGUCUUGAAACACGGACCAAGGAGUCUAACAUACAUGCGAGUGUU